AUUAAUUGACAAAAUACACAAAAAUUUACCUAAUCCUAGACUUUACAUAUAAAGUAAUGCUUAAAAUCUGAAGAGGACACAAAAAGAUAAGGCUGAAAAACUGAAAGAGAGAUCAGCGCAGCUUUUUUGACAAAAGAGAGACCGGACCCCCUCCCCCCAGAUCGUUUGCUUCAAUUCACCCAACGCCCAGCUUCUGCUUCCACCAAAAAAACUAACCCGGCUUGAGCUUCAACCACAAACAAGACCCCUAACACAAAGACCCUCCAUUCUCCAAAGGAUAUCUACACACACAAGAACACCCAUACUUUGAGAUUUCUUUAAUGUGAAACCCAUAUGACAGAACCACCAGUUGCCGAAAAACAUGUAGCUCCGGAAACCUUCCAUUGGAUCCGGCGAAAUAGAGUUCGAACCCAGCGGUGAACCUAUCUUCAAAACUCCCUGAAACUACACCACAUCAGUGCGAAAGUCAGCUAAAAUUCGCUACCCAAAUCUAGUCGAGUGGAUCUAUUCAGGUCGCCGUUUCCGGUCCGUUGAGUUUUUCGUUGAUACGCUGUUCGAGUUCUGUCGAGUUUGUUUCUGCCUUCAUUUAGCUUGUUUGAGCUUUUCUUUGGGCGAUCAGGAAAGUUGUGGAAACGUUCUCGCUUAUGCUUUAUUGAAAUGAUAAAAAAUUGUUGUUUCCUCUUUAGCUUCUCGUAGAUUGGUUCCAGUUCUGAUCUCUGUUAUUCUAGUGUGUAAGAGAUGUGUAUUUCUUCUCAAAUUGGUUGAAAUUGUUUGAAAAUACUAGAGUACGAUAUCUAUUGAAAUUAGUUUAAUCCCGGUUUUCAGCUAUGAGUGCUUGUGUUGGUUAAUCUAAGCAUGUUUGAAUUAGUUUAAAUUUUACAGAUUUGCCGAACUUUUUUUUGCUUUAUGGAAAAUUUCUGUUGUUCAUAAGAUAUCUUUAGAGAAUGGAGGUGUUAGAACAUUGAUAAAGUUUAGUUUAUUCAAUUUUUGUAUUUCUUUUCCUUUGAACCAAGCUUUACAGAUCUAUCCAUGAACUUUGGUAUUUUUCAUUGCAUUUGAUUGGUUUUAAAUUGCCCUUUUAUAAGGUCAAAUAUUUGCAGGGAUCUCAAACCAAUAUGAUCUGACUCUUUGUUAAUUCUUGUCACGAUUAGGCAGUGAUGAUUAGUUAUAGUGCACCGUAAGGGAUUGAAAUGCUAAAACGAGAAAUAUGCAGCACUUUCAUAUUAUCCUUUGAUCGUUAAUUUUGGGUUGUUAACACGUGGACAUGAAUUGAGUUUUCAUUUUAUUUAGUUCUAUUGUUAAUCGAGGUGCCCCAUGAGUAAAUGA
rnacentral:lncRNA from 1 species